UUUUUAUUGGAAUAGUUUUGUCCUGACAAAGCAGGGGCGUCAAACUCAGUUUCCCAGAGGGCCACACUGGAGAAACAGAAUCACACCGAGGGCCAGACAUGGAGAGAUUAUUGACGUGCUUUUGUUACUGCAUGUCACUUUUUUUUAACAUUUUGGCAGCUUUUUUCCUCAUUUUUGUGGCUCUGUCUGUCUGUCUGUCUGUCUGUAUAUAUAUCUGCCUGCUUCUGGGGGAAUUCCUGAGUCUCAGAGUCGGCAAAUCUGCCAUAUUCUGCUCUGAAUGUCAUAUAAUUGCAUUUUAAAAAACACGUUCCUGUCUUUUUGGCUUGACGCACAACUAGGCGGGCCAAAAUUUAUUGUGAACCUAAACUGAUAUACGGGCCUCAGUCAAUUGACCUGAACAGACAUGGACGCCUUGCGUAACUUUGGGUUCAACAUUAGAUUAGAUUAGAUUUCCAAAUAUCUCACGUCUGCAUGUUUUAAGAAAAGAGACUAUGAAAGCUAUGAAAACCUUAAAAAGAAGAAGAACUUGGGAAAAAGCCCAGUUUUGAUUAAUUAUGCCCAUACUCAAAUAUGACAACCAAAACCUCAAAAAAGUGACAAAAAAUUGCCAAGAAAACACAAUCAAAAAGCAGCAAAAACAUUAAAAAAGGAACGAUGUUGUAACCCCCCCAUCCCCUCUGUAAAUUACGUCCACACUCACGUCAACCAAAGGUGGCGUUCAAAAGAAAUUAAACUCAAAGUUAACAGACAGAAAGAAGCAGGAAACCAGUAAAAUGUGACACUCAAACUUUAAUGU